GAGUAACAGAAGCUUUCAGACUCAGAGGAACAACAGCACAGAAGAAGUCCAGGAGUUGCUCUUCUUCUACACAGACCUGGUCCAGACAGCAGAACUGAGUGAUGAAGUUCAUGGGAGGAAACUGAAUGAAGGUAGAAGGUGUGUGAGCUGAUGUGAAGUGAGCAGCAUGGAUCAGUGUGAGGACAGAGAGGACAGAGUCCCUCCCUCUAAAACCACUCUGUGUGGAGAACAUGAGGACCAGAGCAAAGUUCAGAGG